AAAAAAAAAAAAAAAGGAGCUACUGAAUUGCUUUGUAUUUAAGCAGACGCUCUGGAAGUCUGAGAGCAUGUGUUUUAUGUGCAACUUCUGACAACCUAGGGAAAAGAGAAGUGAGACAACGAUAUGAUCUGUGGCUUCUCUGGAUUCCCUGCCUCACCAUCCCUAGAGUCAUGGGUUUUAAUAACCUGGGCUGGAACAACAGAAGUGUACCAGGAAGGAUCCAUCCAUCCCCUCUCAUGCACGAUGCCAGCCCUCAGGAGCAAAAAGAUUUAUUUCUUCACACCUGAUGUGUGUUUAUUCCAAUUCGACCUCACUGAGGCAGAAAUCAUGCAACGCCAGCUGGAAUACAACUCACUGCUGAACUGGGAAGUGGCUCUGAAAUGACCAGGGAGUUUAGGACAGGAAAUGAACGAUGUUAUUAUGCCUAAUUUCAACUUCACAGCAAUUUUGGGAGGCAGAAUGUCAAUAUCUAGUCCACAGCUGGGCCCUUGGGCUGUCAAGCCUGAAGCUGAAAGCACCCUGAGUCCUGCCAUCUGUUAUGGCCCGGCAGCAGAACUCAGUGCCACGGUGUCUGAGCAUCUAAUGACUACAAGGUGUAAGGAUCUCUGUUGUACUUCUCAUCCAGAACCCAGUAGUUCUUCCUUUAACACUAUGCUGAGGCAUUGCUUCAUUACAGAGGGUAGAGUGCCAUCUACUGAAUCAGGUUGAUGUGUUUCUGUAACUCCCACAGGAAUGUGAAAUGAUUUUGUACCUUUAUUGAUAUAUCCUCGUGCUCUCUGCUGACUGCUCCACUCCCUCAGCUCGGUCCAAGUCCUGCCACGUGUUCUGGUUGGAGCUGAACACUGACAAUAAGUGAUGGGCAGUAACAGCAUCAGCAGUACGUUACAGUCAUGUGAGCUAUUUUGAAAACCCAUUAUUCCAACCACUUUCCUGUAUGAUUUUGUGUCAUUCUCAAUUACUAUUCAACAGAUUUAAUAGAAAACACCUUUAUCCAAAUCACAUAUUUUUCAGUUUUUAGGAUCUCUCACUGUUGUAUAUGUGCUUUUAACCAUCUACAAACAGCUCAGAGUUUACUGCAAGAUCCCACUUACCUGAACGCUUCCCAGCUGCACUUCUAAAGAAACACAGGGCACAGCUGAUCCAUGAGGGGAAGGGAAUACAGGAUCCACCCAACAGCCCAGAAUCCUGCAGUAAAUGGAGAUUGAUUCUUGACUCAAACGAGCACUGAGCUAAUGAAUUAAAUAGUGCAGUCCUGUGUGUUUUCGAGGCUGUAUACACCUGCUAUCUAAAGGGGAAAAUGAACGAGAUUUGCUUUUUUAAUGUAACCUGGAAGGUUUGCUAUCCCAUGGGUCCUAGGUUUGACAGUUGUAAAUGUUUUAGCGUUAUUUCACUCCUUCCCUUCAGGCAAUAAAUCUGUUCCUGCUCUUUGGAACAGAAAAAAAAUCAAGGGAUUGCUCUUGCUGUCAUCAUGAGGCUCAGACUCCUGCAGGUUUGUAGGCUGUCAUUUGGAGGCUGCUGAACUAUCUUGCUAAAGGCAGAGACAAGGAAGUGUGACUCUGAACCUAACCAAAACUCAGGGGCUAGGCUGGGUUUGGCCUGUGGGUGCUCCCUGGUGUGAUCCCUUCAGAAGCGAUUCAGUUCCAACAACGAUACUUGAAAAGCGAUCAAAUCAAAGCAAUGGCUUGUGCUUACAAGACUUGUGUAUUUUCCAUGUCAGCCAGCUUUCCAGGGCUCAAAACAGCAGUGAAUAAUUUUUUAACUGAGGCAAAACUUGAGCUGUAAUAAGCUCCUGCGAUCAAAAUGUAGCACCAGGUCUAAGAUACCUGCCCAGAAACAAAGAUAUUUCUGUCUUUGAACCUACAAAAGUAGUUCCUCUGUCUGUUAGUAAGGUUUUUGCCACCCAAUUGAUGAUUCAGUUCUAUGCGUGAGAACAGUAUAAAUCUGAUCAGUUAAAAUUGCCCUAAGCCUUGGAUUUGACAAAUGGUCGUAACAGUGGGGCUGCUAUUUAUAAAGUAAAAAUUUGUUAGGGUUUUGUUUAAGUAUUCUAGUGAUCUUUGUGUAGAAAGUCUGAAGAAUUAAGUGACGUAUGUUUAUUUUAUGAUAAAGUAUAAUCUGUAGGAGUUCCUCCUACCAAAAUACACAGAUGCCUUGUUUUUAAUACAAAUACUGACCUGCCUGACCUGUUCUCACUGGCUUUAGUUUUCCACCUUUGUAUGCAUCAGCCAAAGCCCAAAGGAUGACAGGUUGAGCAUCAUCUUUGGAUCAGCCACACAGGAGGGUCCGGUGGGAGUGCUCCAGAAUCACAAAACCUCACUGAAAUUUCACUGAGCAUCUGCCCGAACUGUCAGACUGAAUCUGUCAGAUAUGAGAGCAUCAGGAACAGGCUGCAAGAUUAACUGACUCCUCAAGGUUUAUUCUAGCUUUUUUUCUACGAUUCUAAAACCUGGACAGCCUUAAUGUUGCAUAGUUGUGGUCUGCAGUUCCAAUUCCUGUUUCAAAGAAAUGGCUUUCAAGUAGGCGGGCGCUGUGUGGCACAUAGCCUUUCCCAGCCUGGGAGAAGUGUGCUGCGUGUAAUUGUGUAUUUAUGCGAUGCUGUGAGAGUGUGCUCACCCUCACCUUGGAGCUGGAGGUGCUGCUCACUGCACCCGGAGGUGAAGAACACAACUUCAUCCUUGCGGUGAGGAUAUGUGCCAUCAACCCUUUCUCUCUCUGAGAGCUGAAACUCCCUGUUGAUCUCCAAAUAACAUUUUUUUUCCUACUCGGGCUCUGUCAAUGCAUGCUAACCUUAGUGUAAACAGUUUUUCAUAGAAAAAUUCCCUCAGGACAACUUCCAGCUUGAUUUUUGAGGAGUUGCUUAGCCGUAAUCAUGCAGAAUUCUCUAGGUUUCAAGCGGCGUGCCUCCUGCUGAGGUGUUCUGCCUGCUAAUGAUAGGAACUCAAGCUGUUCAUUUUGUCUAGGCAAGGGCACUUGAAGGACAGCUCUCUGCUUUCGCCAUCCCUCUGUAUCUUCUAUGAGACAAACUGCAGAACUUUGGCAGAGAAAGUGUUGCAGUCCCUUCCUUAGUAAGCCUGCCUCUGAGAAUUGAUGGGUGAUACUGCCGAGAAUGAGCCACUUGUUUCUGACUUUUCUAAGAGGUUGCUAUAGGAAGAUUUCCAUCUUCUUCUGAAAAUGGUGAAAAGAAGAGUAAGUGAUGCCCAAAGUGAAAGCUCUGUCCUCAGAAUGAAGAUUUACUACAGAAACACCAGGCAGAUACUUAAGAGUGGAUUUGGAGUUUGCAGUGAAAAUAACAGUUCACUUAGUUCCAGGCAACACUCUCUCCUCCAAAUUAUUGCUUCUUUAUAUAGGAAUUAGGUUUAUUUUAGCAGGCUUCAACAGCAGAACUGUUGCAAACAUAGAAAAGGUUGUUAGAGUCUUUGCUGUACCACUUGGAAGCAUUGCACUACACUUCUGCCUUCUCCAAAGCAGACUGCACCCUUGUGAAGCCCAGCUCCAAAUGAUUCUAUGAUUCUAAGUGGCACUUGGGUCAUCCACGCCUUCAUCUGAAGGGGAAAGUACCUGCAUCUCCACCUGCUGCUCUGUGAGUCAGGUACACGUGCCUCCAUCUCCCCGUGCCUUCCAAGCAACCAUCUGUAAGUCUUUUCAAAGAAAAUUCAAAGAAGGUAUGGACAGUUUGCCCCACCAUGUCUUCCUUACACAUCACAACAAUGCAUUAUGUCGUUCUUCUAGACAAGUGCUCAGUCUGAGAUGCCUGACAAUGGGCAUUUCAAUAGUGGGCUCUAUUUAUACACAAUGUAUCUGGAACAACAAAGGGUAAUGAAUCACUUUACUGGCUGUAUGCAUGCAAUUAAUAUAGCAUUAGUAAUACAGGGGAUGGUAGCCCGUGUUAACAUUGCCUGCCAGCUAAAUUCCUAUAAAUAAUUGUCUGCUCGAAUUUAACUCAUUUAUUUGUCAGUGCUCAGAAUACAAAAUAAUUUGUCCUGCAACAGUGGCUCUGUCUCCUUGUUAAGCUGGCACGCUGUUUCCUUUGGUAGCAAAUGAAUGAAACUUGGGGCUGUGUUAGCGGCUUCAAAACUAUUGGCUGAGCCAAGCCCUCUAAUAUCUGCUUGUGGCAGAGUUGUACACAGCAAAACAAAGUCAACACAAGGAAUAGAAAACUGGAGUGGUGGGGAACACAAUAAGGAAAAUGAGAAGAUUGCCUCUGGCAGCUUCAGGCCCAGCUGCUGGGAUCCCAAGGCUUCUGCAAUAUGGGAUGUGGUGACUGCUGGCUCUCCCCACCUGGAGACAGUUGAUAUUGAAGAGCUGUAGUCAAUGACAGAUGAUUUCAGCAUUCAUUGCAGGUGUGACUGCACCGAUAUAUUCCCUGUAGAGCUCCGCAUUCACCUGAUGCUGAUAAAUCAUUCUUUCUAGGUAUAAAAUGUGGGGUUCAGAGGAGAAAAUGUACAGCAGGACCCAGCAAGGUGAGUGCAUUUGGGUAUUAAACAUGGCUGAGAGAGAUUUCAAAUUCCAAUCAUGACUUUUCCCAAAGUAUUUGUUCUGCCCUAUCAGCUAAUACAGCAACGGUGCAUAUAUUAACAUCCUGGAAUUGAAAUAGAGAUCAAGGGCAUAGGGUAUAAAUUGGUUUUACAGCAUAACGUUAAAUAAUCAAACCAUACUGGAGCAGCCUCUGUGACAAAAUGACUUACAUUUUUGGUGCCGCUUUUUAAAUGUGAUUAUGCAUUUUAAUUGUUUAACUCCAGUCUGUGGAGUAGUUUCAAAGAUGUUUUAAAAUAACUUACAGCAUGAAAAGCCGCCUGAUCUUUAAAUACACCUCAGGUUCAAUAAAUUUGUUUUUAAUUUCGUGUGAUGUGUGAAAUAGUAAUUUUGUGCAGUGCUUUCAGGGGAGUGGAGAGGGAUUUCAUAAAACAGGCCGGGACAAGGAGGGUACAACUGCAUAAAGGCAGUAGGAAUUUCCAUGCUGCUUCUCGUUGUGUCUCGCUGUAAGAACACAGUGUUUGGAAGAGUGGUGCACUCCUGCUGUUUUAAGCCUCAGAAUGAACAGCACUAUGGUGUAAUGGGGCUUCACACAGAGAUAUGAAGGUGGCAGGUUUGUCCUGCUCCGCUCCUUCAGCCAUCCAUCUCACCGUCAUCUCCCCAAAGCAGAACUCUGUCCCUGGCUUGAGGGGGUCCAGCUGAAUGUAGGGCCCUUGAUGAGCCUUUGAAUUUGCUUGAGCACUCUCCAGAUCCUCUCCUAUGAAUAUGAGGCAAGAAUGGGUUAAUUCCAGACACAUUUCACAAGCUCAAUAACAUGUGAAAACUGAGAUGGAAAUCUGCACUUUAUUUGUUUUCGGUCCUGAUUAUUUAGAGAGCAGAAAAUCAUAAUUUACAGUGCCAAUUUUCGGUAUUUUUAACCAGAUCAUGGCUUAAAAUACUGGAAAGAUUUAAGAGAAAUAACAAGACACCAUCUGCCUGUUUUUUUUGUGAUUCUGCUAAAUGUUUAUGGAUGCCUGUUGAUUUAGAGGUGGAAUUAAAACAAGAGCUGAAGUUGAAAAUUAGGGCUGUUGAUGAAGAAAAAUGCAAUUUUCCUCUUCAUGCAAUAAAUUAAUAUCAAUAAUUUGGGAAAAGGAAAGACUUGCAAGGAAUUUCCAGAGCAGUGACUCCUGGUUAAUUGUCUUUUAAGAUGCACCCCGUUCUCAGUUGCAUGGUACACUUGUUGAAUUUAUUAAAAUGACACAUCUAUUUGUAACCCUCUGAUAGGAACCUGAUUAAAUGUUUUGCCUGACUCGUUGGAGUCAGCCAUGUCUCUUCUAAUAAAUGUCGAUUACAUUUGCUGUUCAUUUUUACAUUUGCAGUCCCAUUAAGGUUUAAGAAGGUUUAAGAUAGCAAGUUUCUUUGUGGUGUGUGUGUUAAUAGGAGAGCUGGCUUCAAUGAGAAAGUGUGAGGUUUUCUUUGUUGUUUUCUUCUUCCCCUUAUAUCACAUUAACAUUCAUUGACAACCACUCCUUCAGCUGCUGGAACGAGAACUGUUUAUAACAGAUCAUACCAUGGCUGAGGUGCUUCCCUUGUGUCUCACAGCGUGCAUUCAGGCACACAGGCACUCUGGUUGUGUUAUCUUUGGUGACCAAUCAUUUUCAUACAACACCUGCUGCUGUGUAGAGCCAGGAAGAACUCCAGAUCCUUUCUCCUCAAGAGCUGGUGAUGAGCCUGGAAGGUCUUCUUUCUGGUUCUUCGCAAGCAAACACAAUCCUUGUGGAAUCAGUGUUUGCAAAGAUCAAUGACAUCUCCAUUUCUGAGCUGUAGAUAUUUACCUACUGUAGU
ensembl:lncRNA